AUACGUAGGUGGCGAGCGUUGUCCGGAAUCACUGGGCGUAAAGGGCGCGUAGGCGGUUGAUUAAGUCAGGUGUGUAAACUAUCGGCUUAACCGGUAGAUUGCACUUGAUACUGGUUGACUUGAGUGCAGGAGAGGGCAGUGGAAUUCCUAGUGUAGCGGUGAAAUGCGUAGAUAUUAGGAGGAACACCAGUGGCGAAGGCGGCUGCCUGGACUGUAACUGACGCUGAGGCGCGAAAGCGUGGGGAGCGAACAGGAUUAGAUACCCUGGUAGUCCACGCCGUAAACGAUGGGUACUAGGUGUAGGAGGUAUCGACCCCUUCUGUGCCGGAGUUAACACAAUAAGUACCCCGCCUGGGGAGUACGGCCGCAAGGUUGAA
rnacentral:rRNA from 1 species